GCACUUCGCUAGACCCAGGGGAAGGUCUGUGAACUGGGCGCAAGCACCCUCGUGGAGGCUGAAAUCGACUGCGUAGGCACUUUGGCAAUUGUUUUCAGCUGGAGUGGUGCACGCUGCCCAGACAAGGGCGACGAGCGAAGCGAAAACUGCGAGGCGGAGCAUCGAAUGGAGGCUUU
rnacentral:ribozyme from 14 species